GCCUAUUAUCUUUAGUGUUGUUUUAAAAUUUUUAAACACAUUCUACAUUUGUACUAAUGUAUAUUAAACUAUCUUUCAUGGUACAUGGGCAUCGUUUUAAUUUUUUGUCAAUUAAUUUAGUAAAAUUUCAUAAUACUCCCUAAAUUGGUGGACUAACUAGUAUAAAAUUACUAUUUUCUAGAGAAACGGAGACAACAAAAGUCUCAAACCUCUUUGACCUUCAUCAUAUGUUAAUGAAGGAUGCAACUAUACAUUAAAACAGUAUUUUCAUAUUUUUGAAUUUUUU